rnacentral:rRNA from 1 species
GCCUACGGCCAUACUGGACCGAACGCCCCCGAUCCCGUCAGGUAAACCAUCCCGGGCCUGGCUAGUACUUGGAUGGGUGACCACCAGGGAAUCCCAGGUGUUGUAGGCA